rnacentral:tRNA from 1 species
GGGGGGUUAGCUCAGCUGGGAGAGCGCCGCGUUCGCAACGCGGAGGUCGAGGGUUCGAAUCCCUUACCCUCCACCA